GAAAUAAGCCAAGGGAAGCCGCAUUUUCGAAGAAGAAUGGUCCAAUGAUGCCUCCAGCCCAAAGUCCACACCAAACAGUGACAUGUUGUGGAUGUAUUUGUUUCUCAA